rnacentral:snoRNA from 1 species
AUUAUUUUCCAAAUUAUUGAAUGCUCAAACUCCUAAUUGAGAAUCAUGUUACUAAUUCCUUGCAUUGGUAGGACCUGAUGC